UUGAAAUAUUUUCAUUUCAGAGGAUUAUCUCGAAGGUGGUGCCUCCGAAUACGAAACUGUCAGCGACUCCUCCGAUUGUGACAGUGACCUCGAAUUUGAAGAUGUCGAUGAGGAUGAAUUAAAACAUGAUAUUGGUAACAAUCCUUUACCACCAGAGCCACAGACUAAUGGAUUCGAUAAAUUCACUCAGAAUCUAAGGAAACUCAAGAAGUCUUUCUCUAGGGAUAUUACUAAAUCAUUGAGAAGGAUUUCCAAACGUAUGUCGCUAGUGGAAACAGAAUCAAAAGAUCAAGUUCAAGAAACCCGUGUUCCCGUUAUUCUUACUGAUGAACCAAAACCGGAGUUGGGCUCAGAAAGUGAAGUUCAGAAGUCUGAUAGUAUUUUCAAUAGAAUCAGACGAAGUGUUUCCAUUUCUGCGGUAUCUCUGGCAAACCAGCGAAAAAGUACUUUCUAUUUGAGUGGUGACAUUGACGUUGGUGAAAAUGGGAAAGCAAAGGAAUCUACCAAGAAAAAAUCGGUUUCAAAUAAUUCACCUUCACCUAUUAACGUCAAAUCUAGGGUGGUGAGACCGAAAAUACCACCUCCUCCAAUUCCAGUAAAAAAUGUAGGUACGUA